UCCCACGCCACCACGCCCCUGCCGCUUGCCGGGGGCCUCGGCGCGGGUGGGGGGCUGAGCCCCUCACCUCGCUGCUUUCGGGGGCCGUGCCUGGUGCCAGCUGUCUCGGGGUGGCUUCUGGAAGUAGAUGCCAAGCUGGACGUGGGUACAAGACCGUCCUCGGGGUCGACACCUGUGCGAAGGAGGAGGAGGAAGUGGGCUCAGAUGGAGAGGCGGCCCAGAUGGGCUGCCGGGAGACGUGGCCUGGGUGAGGUGGGCAGAGGGCGUGGCUGGAGGCUCUUGCUGACCACACUGCCCGCGGGAGGGUGGUGGUCCUCCGUGGGAGGACUGUGGGGACAGCACAUUGCAGUGGCUCUGCUGUGAGACCCCAGCACGUAGCACCACAGGCUCCACCUGUGUCCCCUGGGACCUCUCCAUGUAUGGCCGUCCCCCAGACACACUCUCUCCUCUCCUGCCCCUGCCUCUGUCACACUCCUCCCUCUGCACACCCCUCCCCACCAGGUCACCUGGCCUGCGCUGCCCAGCCUGUCCCCGCUCACACUGCGGGCAGCGGUCCGCCCCGCGUCUGUACGGAGUUGUAGGUUCUGUUUCCAUCUGUGGGCCUGACCUCGGCUCUCUGCGCACACAGGCGUCCUGGUGGGCUUGUCACCUGUUUCCCCAGCGAUAGGUGAUACCUACAAUGAGGUACCUCGCACCAGGCAGGAUGGCCAUCCUUCAAAAGUCUACGCGUAGCAAAUGCUGGAGAGGGUGCGGAGAAAAGGGAAGCCUCCUACACUGCGGGUGGGAAUGUACAUUGGUGCAGCCGCCAUGGAGGAGAGUGUGGCGGGUCCUUCAAAACCUAAAAA